CUCUCAACACGGGCCAAGGAUAAGAUGGCUUCCUCAGGGCAACAAGAAGCUUAGACCUCCGAGCUCGAACUCUGAAAGGAGGCAUCAAACUCAAGCGGUCCCAGACAAAUCAACGGCCACAAACAGAGAGACGGGUCAAUGCGACAGCAAUCGGGUACCUCCGAAUGGCAUCGAUAUCGAGCGAGGCAAAAGCCGAAGGA
rnacentral:lncRNA from 1 species